rnacentral:rRNA from 1 species
GUGACUGCGUACCUUUUGUAUAAUGGGUCAGCGACUUAUAUUCUGUAGCAAGGUUAACCGAAUAGGGGAGCCGGAGGGAAACCGAGUCUUAAUUGGGCGUUAAGUUGCAGGGUAUAGACCCGAAACCCGGUGAUCUAGCCAUGGGCAGGUUGAAGGUUGGGUAACACUAACUGGAGGACCGAACCGACUAAUGUUGAAAAAUUAGCGGAUGACCUGUGGCUGGGGGUGAAAGGCCAAUCAAACCGGGAGAUAGCUGGUUCUCCCCGAAAGCUAUUUAGGUAGCGCCUCGUGAAUUCAUCUCCGGGGGUAGAGCACUGUUUCGGCUAGGGGGCCAUCCCGGCUUACCAACCCGAUGCAAACUGCGAAUACCGGAGAAUGUUAUCACGGGAGACACACGGCGGGUGCUAACGUCCGUCGUGAAGAGGGAAACAACCCAGACCGCCAGCUAAGGUCCCAAAGUCAUGGUUAAGUGGGAAACGAUGUGGGAAGGCCCAGACAGCCAGGAUGUUGGCUUAGAAGCAGCCAUCAUUUAAAGAAAGCGUAAUAGCUCACUGGUCGAGUCGGCCUGCGCGGAAGAUGUAACGGGGCUAAACCAUGCACCGAAGCUGCGGCAGCGACNGAAGGCCCAGACAGCCAGGAUGUUGGCUUAGAAGCAGCCAUCAUUUAAAGAAAGCGUAAUAGCUCACUGGUCGAGUCGGCCUGCGCGGAAGAUGUAACGGGGCUAAACCAUGCACCGAAGCUGCGGCAGCGACGCUUAUGCGUUGUUGGGUAGGGGAGCGUUCUGUAAGCCUGCGAAGGUGGCCUGUGAGGGUUGCUGGAGGUAUCAGAAGUGCGAAUGCUGACAUAAGUAACGANNNAUAAAGCGGGUGAAAAGCCCGCUCGCCGGAAGACCAAGGGUUCCUGUCCAACGUUAAUCGGGGCAGGGUGAGUCGACCCCUAAGGCGAGGCCGAAAGGCGUAGUCGAUGGGAAACGGGUUAAUAUUCCCGUACUUGGUGUUACUGCGAAGGGGGGACGGAGAAGGCUAUGUUGGCCGGGCGACGGUUGUCCCGGUUUAAGCGUGUAGGUGUGUGUUCCAGGUAAAUCCGGUUCACUUUAACACUGAGGCGUGACGACGAGGCACUACGGUGCUGAAGCAACAAAUGCCCUGCUUCCAGGAAAAGCCUCUAAGCAUCAGGUAACAUCAAAUCGUACCCCAAACCGACACAGGUGGUCAGGUAGAGAAUACCAAGGCGCUUGAGAGAACUCGGGUGAAGGAACUAGGCAAAAUGGUGCCGUAACUUCGGGAGAAGGCACGCUGACACGUAGGUGAAGUGAUUUACUCAUGGAGCUGAAGUCAGUCGAAGAUACCAGCUGGCUGCAACUGUUUAUUAAAAACACAGCACUGUGCAAACACGAAAGUGGACGUAUACGGUGUGACGCCUGCCCGGUGCCGGAAGGUUAAUUGAUGGGGUCAGCGCAAGCGAAGCUCCUGAUCGAAGCCCCGGUAAACGGCGGCCGUAACUAUAACGGUCCUAAGGUAGCGAAAUUCCUUGUCGGGUAAGUUCCGACCUGCACGAAUGGCGUAAUGAUGGCCAGGCUGUCUCCACCCGAGACUCAGUGAAAUUGAACUCGCUGUGAAGAUGCAGUGUACCCGCGGCAAGACGGAAAGACCCCGUGAACCUUUACUAUAGCUUGACACUGAACAUUGAGCCUUGAUGUGUAGGAUAGGUGGGAGGCUUUGAAGUGUGGACGCCAGUCUGCAUGGAGCCGACCUUGAAAUACCACCCUUUAAUGUUUGAUGUUCUAACGUGGACCCGUUACCCGGGUUGCGGACAGUGUCUGGUGGGUAGUUUGACUGGGGCGGUCUCCUCCUAAAGAGUAACGGAGGAGCACGAAGGUUGGCUAAUCCUGGUCGGACAUCAGGAGGUUAGUGCAAUGGCAUAAGCCAGCUUGACUGCGAGCGUGACGGCGCGAGCAGGUGCGAAAGCAGGUCAUAGUGAUCCGGUGGUUCUGAAUGGAAGGGCCAUCGCUCAACGGAUAAAAGGUACUCCGGGGAUAACAGGCUGAUACCGCCCAAGAGUUCAUAUCGACGGCGGUGUUUGGCACCUCGAUGUCGGCUCAUCACAUCCUGGGGCUGAAGUAGGUCCCAAGGGUAUGGCUGUUCGCCAUUUAAAGUGGUACGCGAGCUGGGUUUAGAACGUCGUGAGACAGUUCGGUCCCUAUCUGCCGUGGGCGCUGGAGAACUGAGGGGGGCUGCUCCUAGUACGAGAGGACCGGAGUGGACGCAUCACUGGUGUUCGGGUUGUCAUGCCAAUGGCACUGCCCGGUAGCUAAAUGCGGAAGAGAUAAGUGCUGAAAGCAUCUAAGCACGAAACUUGCCCCGAGAUGAGUUCUCCCUGAGACUUAGAGUCUCCUGAAGGAACGUUGAAGACGACGACGUUGAUAGGCCGGGUGUGUAAGCGCAGCGAUGCGUUGAGCUAACCGGUACUAAUGAACCGUGAGGCUUAACCUU